rnacentral:rRNA from 1 species
AUUGAACGCUGGCGGCAGGCAUAACACAUGCAAGUCGAACGAGUGGCGGACGGGUGAGUAAUGUCUGGGAAACUGCCUGAUGGAGGGGGAUAACUACUGGAAACGGUAGCUAAUACCGCAUACCAUCGGAUGUGCCCAGAUGGGAUGGGCUAGUAGGUGGGGUAAAGGCUAACCGAGGCGACGAUCCCUAGCUGGUCUGAGAGGAUGACAAGCCAAGCUGGAACGGAGACACGGUCCAGUCUCCUACGUGUGGCAGUAGUGGGGAAGAUUGCACAAUGGGCGCAAGCCUGAUGCGGCGAUGCGGAGUGGAUGAGGAGGGGCGUCGGGUUGUAAAUGACUUUCGGUGGGGAGGCGGUACCCGAAGAGGCAGCACCGGCUAACUCCGUGCCAGCAGCCUCGGUAAUUC